AGAGCAAAAGGAUUUAGGGAGAAGAAAGAAGGCCUGAGAGGAAGAUGGGGUGGCUUGGUGGCAGCUGAAGACUUGCUGAGGUAGCCGAACCACUUGGCUCAGGCUGAAGAGAAGAUUCAGGAACCUAUAUACAAUACAGCAUUGCAGGAGAAGAGGUGAGAGGCAGCAGAAGCAACAUGCACUUUGGGACACCAGGCUCUGGUUCUGAGCCUGGGUGUUUCAGCGCACUUUUCCUACCCACAAAGUUACCUGAAAAACUGCCCAAGUAGUUGCAAUAGCUCUUGUGAGUGGCUUAUGAGGUUUCAUAAAGAGCUGCCAUCAGACAAGGAAACUUCUCAGUGCUGGCACAGAAGCACUUGGGACCACAAAUGUGUUGGAUUAAAUCAGUGCUUCCCAAACUUGGGUCUCCAGCUGUUUUCAGACCAGAAUGCCCAUUGUUCCUGACUAGGGGUAAUGAGACUUGUAGUCCAAAAACAAGUUUGGGAAACACUGGAUUAAAUAAAGCAUCAGUGCAUGCAUAUGCAAGAUGACUUUAUCUAUUACUUCAUCUGGAUAAACCAAAUAAGAAAGAGAAGGAGAAACAAAAGCACUUUUUUAUAGUGGCUAAAAAGGGUGACAGCAGGUCAACCUGAGAUACACAAGAAAGACAGGAAAGGUUCAAAAGUAAAUUUGUUGCAAUAGGUAGAUUAUUAGACACCCAAACUUUCCGCAAAUAUUAAAACAACAUCAAGCAUGGAUCUAUAAAGCCUAAUUCAUUGACACACAUCCAACAGAGCUUUACACUGCUCUUCUGGCUCACAGCACUGCCCCUUUCCAAGAGAAAUGAGGCAACUUGUAUUGAAAAAAUGUCCUUUCUCUUGGAUGAAUAAUAUAUAGCUACAUUAACUUUUCACCCCAAAGCACAUGAAUAAGGUAUUAAAGGCGACUGCUGAUAAAAUUGCUGGUAACAGCAGUACAGAAAGGGGAGCUGUGUAACUGGCAGGAUGAAGAGGCCUCUCGCUUAUCACCAUACAUAACUAAAAGAUGAAACCAAGUUUAUCAAAUAAGUUUUUAUACAUAUUAUAUUAUUUAUCGCAUAUGCUCAACCAAUCCCAACUUUUCCAUAGUGCAUCGUUAUAUAUCAAUUUGGAACAUGAGAAGAAUAUUCCAUUAUGUCCCACUGGACUCUCCUCCCACCACCAGAGAAGGGAAAAGCAGUUAUUCCCCAGAAUAAGGUUUUAUUACAAGUACCCAGCGUGCUUUGUGUACCACACCUAACAGGUAAUCAUAUGUCUGGAGAAACUUUGUGAAAUACAUAUUAUUAUAACUCAGAAUUUGACAGGGACUUAUAACAAAACUUUGAGGAAUCUGAUGCUAUUCCAAUUUUUCUUCCAUCAAUCCAUGUGGAAAAAUAACUGCAUCUUCCCAGGUUCUGGGUGAUUUAUGUCUCAGUGAACAUCCUACCCAGCCUCCUAUUUGUGUGCCUGACUCCUCUAUGUGAUUUUUGCUGUACGGUGGUAACUUGAAAACACAGCUCCAUAGAGUUUGCUUCACAUGCUGGCCAUUGUGCAAACCAACUGCCUACCCAGUUACAGUGUUUUUCAUCCAAUCAAGUAAAAACUGCCAAACAUGUGCAAAGCUGCUUACAAGAACACAUGGGUCACCCUCCCUAGGAAUGCAUUUUCCAAUAGCUAUCAAGCCUCAAACCAUUGCACACAAGGAUUUUGGACUCAUUGUCUAAAUGAUCUUGCUAUUAGGAAACAGUUCAGUAUGUUCUUAUCUUAACAUAUUUGCCUAGCUUUUGACUCACAGUGUGGGCACAGUCCACAAGCCAUGAAAGUCAAUGGAAAAGCUACAGUUUUCAUGUUUUGUUUUGUUUUUAAUCCACUCUCACAUUGCCUUCGACUCCUAAACGAAAAGCAGGAAUAGCCAAUGUGAUGCCGCCCAGCUGAUAAGGGACUCCAAUUCCCAUGAUCCCUAACCACUGGUGAUGCUGGCUGGGCUGAUGGGAGUUGUAGUUCAGUAACAUCUGGAGGUCACUCUGGGCUAAAGCAUUGCUUCCUCUUUCUUUCCCUUAAUUAAACACCAUUUCUCUAGCUUGCCCAAACCAUUUCCUGUGUCCACUGAUGGUCCAAAUCUCACCCCACCAUUUAUUAUAUUUGUUUAGGUUUUUUUUUUUUUUUAAAAAAAGGUUACAAUUGUGUUUCAGCUGGUUGUUCCCUACUCUUGCCAAGGCAAGGCUCAACUUCAGAGUAGCCUCAUACAGCCAGAUUUUUACCAUCAUGCUGUAAAAGGAAAGAGGAUCUCCAGUAAUUGCAUUAUCAGAACUGGUUUCAACACAUGAUGGACUUCAUGAUUUUGAUAAAUUUGCUCAAAUGUGGCGGUUACAGAAUUCACUCUCAAAAUGAGCUGGAAGGAACAUUAGAAGCCAUCUAGGAGAAACCACUCUGCUCAAUGCAGGAUGCAGCUACAGCAAUUUUGGCAAAUAUUUAGACAGUCCCCACUCAAAUAGCUCCAGUGAAGGAGAGAGACUACCACCUCUCAGGAGAUUCUUGCUCCACUGUUGAACAGCUUUUACUGUUCCAAAGUUUCCUCUGAGAUAACUCCCUGGAAGCCAUUUUGGAUCCUUCCACAGGAGCAAAACGGAAUACUUGGAUUUAUGGAAAUGAGGAGGGAGAUCAAAAUUCUUUACAAGUAGCAAAGCAAUAGCAUCAAGUAAAGAAUGUGUUGCCUAAUGAACAGGGGUAUGACAAAACCAAUCCAAUAGUGAUGAAUGUGUGGCCAAAAAAAUACUGGGAUUCUCCACCAAGCCAAAAAAGGGGUCUCUUGAUCAAGCAUAACCCACAAAGCAACCUUGGGUAUCUUUAUGUAAACAAGAUGCAGUGACUCAGCAGACAUCACACCUAAAAUCUAAAUGUGUUUUACAAGCACACAUAAUUUUAUUUCAGUGAGUUGGAACACAAUAGAAAACAAGAUUUUAAAAGGAUUGCUAGAAAAUAAUCUCCAGUGAAAUAAUCCCAAUGUAAUAUACUUUUAAUUAGUUAGAUAUAAUCUUGCCAUAUCUUUUUAUGGGAUUGUCAUUAAGAGAAAAAUACAAAUAAAGCCCUCUGAUAAAUCCACAGCUGCUUUCACACUGACAGAAUAUUCACAGCAUGCAAGUUAAUAUUUUACAAGAGUUAUUUUCUUCUCUUUAAUCCUAUAAAUUUCUUCCUCUCUUUAAAGGCUUCUUCUACCUACAUUUGAAUCCCUGCCUUUAAUGAGCACAUCAGGAAAACACACAGAGAGAGAACCACAGUCACAUACAGCUGCCAAAAAUAUU